rnacentral:rRNA from 1 species
AACGAACGCUGGCGGCAGGCUUAACACAUGCAAGUCGAACGCCCCGCAAGGGGAGUGGCAGACGGGUGAGUAACGCGUGGGAAUCUACCCAUCCCUACGGAGCAACUCCGGGAAACUGGAGCUAAUACUGUAUACGCCCUACGGGGGAAAGAUUUAUCGGGGAUGGAUGAGCCCGCGUUGGAUUAGCUAGUUGGUGGGGUAAAGGCCUACCAAGGCGACGAUCCAUAGCUGGUCUGAGAGGAUGAUCAGCCACAUUGGGACUGAGACACGGCCCAAACUCCUACGGGAGGCAGCAGUGGGGAAUAUUGGACAAUGGGCGCAAGCCUGAUCCAGCCAUGCCGCGUGAGUGAUGAAGGCCUUAGGGUUGUAAAGCUCUUUCACCGGAGAAGAUAAUGACGGUAUCCGGAGAAGAAGCCCCGGCUAACUUCGUGCCAGCCGCCGCAGUAAGAC